AACAGAAAUAUCUAGAUCGGUUCGAUUGAUUUAAUUCGUUCGAUUUAAUCGAAUAUCCUCUCAAACCGAUCAAUACUCUCUAUGCUCUUCGAUGCCUCUCAAGGCUUCUGCUGCCGAAUACAAAUUCAUAAAACUCGUCUGCUCUGAGUAACCAUUAUCAAUGACCGAGAAGACAAGUCAAGCAAUUGCCCUGCAUUAAAUUUCCUGUCCAAGACAAGGCAGCGUAUGGAGCAAUUAAUUUAUGCAAUACUACUAGUUCUUUAUUGACACAUGUUGCCCAUCAUAUGGUAAGCUUCGUUUCUUAUUAUUGACUUUGCAACACUGUUGCCACUGCUCAACCGCACUUCACAACACUAAUUGUCAGUCGAAGUGGUUGCAAUGCUGCUCAAGGCUCGAGCACUCAAGCUGCGCUGCUCAUUAAGAAUGCGCUCACAAUCAUAAGCAGACAGAGGCUGACCGCAAGAGAAGCGAACCUCAAGAAUCACCAUAAAGAUGGGUGUAUAAAAAUAAAAAGCUGAAUAAAUGAGAAGUUGUCGGUGUGACUGUGGCUGUGGAAGUGGGUGUUCGUGUGGGUGGCUAGAAAAUGCAAAGGCGAAACAACAGCAGGAGAAGGGCAGCCGCAGGAGCAGCAACAGCAGGAGCAGGAGCAGCAGCAGCAGCAGAUAAAAGGGCCUGGCAUAACAGCGAAACCAAUGAAAGGCACUCAACUGAAGAGGCCAAAAAGUGACUCACAGAGCGAGAGCCACAAUGCAAAAAGGAUGAACGGAAACGAAAAGAUUGACUGCAACUUGUGGCGCCUUUGUAGCAGACUGUUGUUGUUAAGAUUGUUGUUGUUGUUGUUGCACUUUUGCGUGGCCAAGUCCAGAGUGUGGCGAGCCCAUGCCAUUUCCCUUUGCCUUUUGCAAACAGCACUCAGCUCACUUCAAUGAAUACUUUAUGGGUUAAUAAUCGUAAAACCAUUCAACAGCAACAGCAACAGCAGCAGCAGCAACCACCGCCAACUACCUCCUCCACCAUCAAGGCGGGCAACAUCGUUUGGGCCAACUUUUGUGCGCGAAAAUUCAUAAACAAUGUGCAUAAAGCGCAAAAUGUAGCGCUUCUGCGAGCUGACCCCAAGGGGCAACUUUAUAGGUGUGCACUAUGUGUGGCUGCGGUGGGGCAAGCAGGGAGGGGCAGGCAGGUAAGGCAGGCGGGGCAAGUGGGGCCAGUGGAGUGCUGGUUAUGCGUUGCUCGUCGAUUGCUUGUCGCACUGCGCUGGCAAAUUGUGUGCCAGCUGCUGUUAUUGUUGUUGCUGUUAAGAGUGGAGUUUGGCAACAAUAGCAAAAGGCAGCUAUUGUUGUUGCUGUUGUUGUUGUUGUUGUUAUUUUGCAUACUGGACAGUUGAAUGAGUGGGUGAAGUGGCGGCUGGGUAGAUUUGGCGGACAGCUCAAUGGGACUUUCAGUUGAGCAACGCUUAGCGCACAGUUUGACGUUGAUUUUGUGUUCGAGGUGUUGUCAUUGUUGAUGUUAUUGGGUUGUUGUUGUUGUUGCCGUUUUGUUGUUGUUACUCCUUUGCGGAUUAUAAACUUGUACAGCACUUUAAUGACUAAAAUGGAUUAAAUAUGUGCCAUGUGCAAGGUGG